UGGCUUUAUAGAGCCUGCAUUGUACACACUGUGUGUGCACCUCAGACUUGCACAGCGCAUACAAUGUGGAUGCUAUAUGAGUC
ensembl:miRNA xtr-mir-460a xtr-mir-460a